GGCAAGUUUUUAUUCAGUGAAAAACAAAUUAGGGAGGGCAGGAAUAAGAAGAGGAUCACCAUUCCAGACAAAUACUGCACUCCUCGGGAGUUUUCGGACCAUCUCUAUCAGCAUUUCCCUAUGUUGAAAGAUUGUGGUGUUUUCCAGCUCUUGCGUUCCAGAGGAUCAACACGUUCCAAAAAAUUUGAGAAAUUACCCUGUCCAGAUGAUGGGUAUUCCCCUGAGUACCUCUUAAGUAAGUCUGUCAUGGUUGGGCAGGCUCUCAUAUAUAUCAGGCCAAGAUAUAGAUCUGCAGGUAGGUAGAAAAAGGUUAAAAUAUCUGGUAAGUAAUAAUACUCUGGAUGUUGAGAAAGUUUAAACCAGCAAGUGAUACACUAGUUUUAAAUAAAGUGAUUUAGGAUACCCCUAAAUUCAUAUUUUUUGUAUAAGCUAACCUUACUAUCUAUCUGCUAAAGUGACUUGUUAAACUUAUUGUUAUGUUCUUACAAUGAUUCAGACUCUUGAGAGUGACCAGCCUAUAUCCUCUGGACCACUGACAGAAUGCUUUUACUGCACUGAGAAGUAUAGCCUGUCAGAAAUACAAGACCAUGUUGAUGUUUGCGAAAAACAUUCCACCUCUUUGUCUCUCGCUCUUCAAAAUUCCUGGGAUUUGGGAUUGACUGGGAUUGUCAGACAAAGUGAUAUCAGAUAGCACUGGCAGUACAAGACAAGAAGAAAUGGCAGCAACCAUGUCAGAGGAUAAUGCUGAAAGGGAGGAAAGGGCCUCAACAUCACUCAAUACUGUUUUCUCAGCCAGUAACCAGCC